GUAGUCAACCUGCCCUGGAGACGCGGACAAACCCGGGAAACUGGGGCCUAUCCGCGAUAGAUGGCCUCAUCUGGAAGGAGGGGCCGUCCAAAAGGGCGCACGGGUAUGCUCUGUGCGAACCGCUCCAGGAUGGGACUGCGGCCGAUCAGGCUGUUGGCGGGGUAAUGGCCCACCAAACCUGUAACCGGUACGGGCUUUGAGAGAAGGAGCCCGGAGAUGGACACUGAGACAAGGGUCCAGGCCCUACGGGGCGCAUCAGGCGCGAAACCUUCGCAAUGCGCGAAAGCGUGACGAGGCUAGUCCGAGUGCCGCCUGCUAAAGGUGGCUUUUCUCGGCUGUAAAAAGGCCGGGGAAUAAGGGGAGGGCAAGUCUGGUGUCAGCCGCCGCGGUAAUACCAGCUCCUCGAGUGGUCGGGACGAUUAUUGGGCCUAAAGCACCCGUAACCGGUUCCGUAAGUCCUCUGUCAAAUCCAGCUGCUCAACGGCUGGCCCGCAUAGGAUACCGCGGAACUAGGAGGCGGGAGAGGCGGACGGUACUCCGCGUGUAGGGGUAAAAUCCUUUGAUCCGCGGAAGACCACCAGUGGCGAAGGCGGUCCGCCAGAACGCGCUCGACGGUGAGGGGUGAUAGCUGGGGGAGCGAACCUGAUUAGAUACCCGGGUAGUCUCAGCCGUAAACGAUGCGGACUAGAUGAUUCUAUCGCAGUUCGCGAUCGAAGUGUCUCAGGCAAGCCGUUAAGCUCGUCGCCUGGGGAGUACGGGCGCAUGGCUGAAUCGUAGAAGAAACUUCUUUCUACGCAGGUCACUUAAGGAUUGCUGGGGAGCACCACUACGGGUGAGGCCUGCGGUUCAGAUGGAGUCACACCG
rnacentral:rRNA from 1 species